ACAAUUCCCCUCGGGCCUGGCUACACAUCUCUCUUAUCCCCCACCUCUCCUUCUCCAACUCCGGCCGCCGCCACGGCCAGGCCGGCGUGGUGGUGCGCCUCCGCAGCCCAUCCAUCCACCAGCACCACCAUCACACGACCACUCCACAACCAGCGCCACCCAACCACCCAUCCUCGCCAUCUCCAUCACCCGCCGCUGCAUCAUCACCAAUCAGCCACCGCCGCGCCAUCACCAGCACCUCCAUACACCACCAUCCAUCAGCGCCACCAUCUGCAGCUACCGCUGCAUCUCGCGUGCUCGACCAGACAAGAGGGUCACGGGCAUCUGGUCCUCCGUGUUAGCGCCCCCGUGUUGUUGAUGUUCUUCUCCUUUCCCCCUUGCUGCUUCUUCCCUUCACGCUGAUGCUGCUGCCUUCCUUGCACCCCCUUGCUGCUACUACGAUCUGAACCCUCCUUGCUUUUGCUCUUCCCUCGUCCCAGCCUGCUGCUCUCUCAAUCUCUGCUGCUGCUAUUCUCUAAGCCCCCCACGCUGCUGGCGUUCCUCUUCUUUCCCACGUCUAUGCUGCUUUCUUCUCCCCAAAACUGCUGCUGUACCUUCUCCCUAAUUCCCCUCUUCUCCUAACCUUGUUGCUGUACUUUUCUGAACCCCUACUACUGUUGUUUCCCUCAUUAUCUUUCUCUGAAUUUUCUGUAAGCUGAGAUGUGUAAUGCUUUGUAAUGUUCAGAUUUGAGUAGUGCUUGACACUUGUUCAGUUUCAGACUUGUCCUUGAUUAAUAGUACUUGUGUUGUUCAUCUCAGAGUACUAGAAUUAUGUCUUGUAACCUCCCCCUAUUUGCAUAUGUGUGAUGUGUGUUCUGUAGUGUUUUUGUUAACUUUGUUCAUGUGAAAACAUAUAUGUUUGUGUUGUGAUAUAUUUUUGUCCCUAUCAUAUUAGCUUGUUUCUUUCCUUCUGUCAUUGCUAGUUAUAUAUGUGUGAGUGUUUGUGUUGUGAGAGUUGUACUGUUACAUUGUGAUUCUCAUUUAAAAUGUAAGAGUACUAGCUAUAUACUCCCUCCAUUCCUAAAUAUAGGGUGUAUAGUUUUUGGCACGGAAUUAAAGAACGCACGUGGAGGGAAAAUUUCACAAGUUCUGGGCGAGAUUACACCUGACUAAUUGACAUGAAUAAAAAGAGAAAUGUAAUCAAAUCCCUAAAAAAUUAAUCCAAACGAGUGGUGCAACGCAAUGCACCUUAUAUUUCGGAUUUUUUCUCAGAAAUCUAUACACCUUAUAUCAAGGAACGGAGGGAGUAUGUCAUAUAUAUUCUAUUCAUGUAUGAUAGUUAUGUGUUCUUGUCUAGUAGGUUUCCCUAAUAUUGAUUCUCGUUUGUGUUAGUGUUUUAAUCCCUCAAGCCUAAUAAAAAUACCAAAAAGACAAUGAGUAAAAUCUGAAUUUCCCCUUGCUGUUUACCCUUUCUUUGUCGUCAACCUUAGCUAGUUUAGGUUAUUAUUUUCUUGGAAUCCUCUCUUAAAAUUUUGUCACCUAGCUUUAGCUGAGCAUUGCUGCUGUCGCCUAGUCCCUGUGGAGAACACGACAUCCGUAGUUUGGGGCGUAAAAAACCCUGCUAUAUUACAACUGAUCAUUUUGGCGCCGUUGUCGAGGACCAGCGUCGAGCGUUUGUGUGAGGCUUUAGACUAGGUUUAGCUUGUUUCCUUUUUGUGCUUUAUAUAUUUGUGAUAUAUCUCUAGCCACUAACCCCUGUUCUAGUUAGUAUCUUUUUGUCUUCUUUUCCUUUUUGCAGGUUGGAUUAUCCUCUCGGUUAUGGCUUACUAUUCAGAUCAUCAUGCUUAUGCGAGCAACACUACAAACAGCACGGAAAGUGUUCAAGAACUGAUAGGUAAGAUUUCCCAUCGAUUAGAUGAUUUAGCUCGGCAGCGAGAAGGAGUUUUUGAGGAUAGGCCUAGUUCUUACGAUCCUUAUUCCAGUGGCCAUCCUUAUGUUGCUCCUACUUGCCAUAUUUGUGGAUUUCAGGGCCAUUCACCCGCUGAAUGUCAGUGUGGCUACUCUCACACUCCGGAUUGUUUUGGCAUGAGCUUCGCUCAAGAGCAUAGCUCAUACCAAAACAAUUACUCACAUGGGUGGCCUGAAAUCCCGAAUAUGUCAUAUAGGAGCAACAACCCUGAGAUCUCACAGUUUGGUUCUAGUAAUCAUAUGCAGGGAUUUAGGUACAAUGAGGAGAGCCACAACUAUGCACCACAACAAUUCCAUUCAGCUCCUACUCAUAUACCACAGCACCAGGAGAUGUGUCCAAUGGAGUUAAAUGGUCCUCCAUUUGGUCAACCAACAACUCCAGCACCUGUUGUGCAAUCUCAUGUGCAAGUGCCCACACAAGAUGAGUUCGAUGACAUAGACAAGCUCACACUUUUGAGUCUCGAGUUCACUUGGAGUGCCGAGGAUGAUCCUAUUAGGAAGGUGAUACUUGAGGAAAUGAAGAAGAUUAAGAGUGGAAAAGAGCUAGUGGAAGAAGUAAGGAAGAUUGAGAAGAACAUCAACGCUGGCAGCACUAUUUCUUCACAGCUAGAGCUGAGUGUUGCUGAGAUAUCCAUUGAUACAUGUGAGGUACCAACACCUUCACAUUCAGCUGAGCAAGAUAGCGAGAGUCCAGAGGAAGAGAUACUUCAGAUCCAAGAAGAAAUUCUCGAAGCCAAGGCACAAGAUGAUCUAGAGCUCGAACAACAAAGUGAUCAAGUUGAAGACUCAUCAUCUACUACUCCUGAAGAAGUACAAGAAGCUGUUGUAGAUGAAGAUGAAGAACAUGAGAUUCAUUUGCCUAUUGUCAUACCAGAGCGUGAUGUGUCAGGUUUACUCAAUCCUCUUGAUGACAUUAUGCCUUGUGAUUUCUUUGCUACUACCUUGCAUUACAUGAUACCAUCACUUAAGAUUGAUUUGAAAACUCAUUUGCUUGGAUAUGAUGAUAUAUACCCUGUUAGUGGCAUUACUCUCAUUUGUGAUGACCAUAGUUACUUUCCUCGCGCUAAUCCUAUGCUUAAUGAAACAUAUCACUCCCAUGCUAGUCUUGAGCUUAAUGAUAAAUAUCAUCCUCAUGUUAGUGUUGACCUUGCUGAUUUCUACCAUCCUAAACAUGUGCUUUAUAGCUAUGCUUAUGUAAUUGGAUACUCUAUCGAUGACUAAGAGGGCAUUCUCUCUGUCACUUGUAUUGGCUUGGUUGUUGAGUGUUCUUUCAGGUUGAUGCUUGUGUACCAUUUACUACGAGUUGACCGAGUUCGAGAUGACAUUCCCUGGGAUCCUGGUGGACUCAGAGCAUGGGGAUGAGGAGAAGCAAGGGGGCACACACGAGGAAGGGAGAAGCUGGAGUAGGCAUGAGGAUAGAGAAGCAAAAGGAGAGGAGCUGCAGUUGGUGAGGUGAUCGAGCGAGUGCUACUUCCUAUGAAAACCCGGUGAGCUGUUUCAUGACCCAUUCCUAGUAUAUCAUCCAUUGAUACAUGCUGAAAUCAAAUGUUAUUUGGGUUGCUUAAGCCAUGUCUUAAAUGUUGCCCCACUGAAUUUUACUUGAAAUAUGGUGCUUGAUGAGAAUAUGUGAACUGAGCGUUGAAUGCCUGGUAAACUAGUGAUCUAUACAAUGCUUGCUUUGCUGAAAGUAGUGGAAGUUAUUAGUUUUGAGUGCUCAAAUCCCUAGUAUACUAGAAAACUUAAUCAUUUUCUGCUUUUACCUCGAUACACCUAGAUCACCACGUUUAGAUUCUGAAUUUGUGCUAAGUGUGUUCCCAUUGAGAGCAAUCACCUAACCACUAUGGAUUAGCAUGCUAUGUUCCCUGGAUCGGUAGCAUGUGAACCAGACAUGGAGAAGUGAUGAUUCCUGUUUUUGUGCUUAUGUGUUGUUCAUUUAAGAUAAGUAAUAUUGAAUAAAUAAGUCUGACUACCUACAGUAGCAUGUCAUGUUCCCGGGAUCGGUGGCAUGUGAAAUCGGGUUAGCUUGGGCAGUAAUUAAUAAUAAAAAAAUGUAAUUGUCGAACCAGGUGUAUACCAUGUUCUCGGGAUCGGUGGUAUGUUCCUUUGGGGAGACAAACAAAAAAACUAAUAAUUGGUCGAGCCAGGUGUAUACCAUGUUCUCGGGAUCGGUGGUAUGUUCCUAUGGUGAGACUAAUAAUAAUAUAAUCAUUGCUUUAUCUCUGUAAAUAAGUGAUUUGAUCACAAGAUUUAAUUCCAGUUCAUUUUGUUCUUGGGAUCAUGCUCUCUUUAGGAACCAUUUGGCGCAGUCAUCAUUUAAACUUGUUGAUCCUCUUUUAUCUCUGUAAAAGUUUAAAAUGGUCAUGCUUACUAGUAUCCUACUGCUUUGUAGCACUCCUAACCAUUAAUUUUCACUAGCUAAGUCUGAAGCAUGCCUUGUUUGGAGAUCUAUUUUACCAGGACAUUCCUUACUCAGUUUACUGUUCAUUAUCUUGCCUUUAUCAUAUUCCUUUGCUUGAGGACAAGCAAAGAUUUAAGUGUGGGGGAACUUGAUAAGUGCAUUUCAUAUAUAUAAUUUGGCACUCAAAUUUAGCAUCUAUCGUGAUAUAUCCAUCCAUUCUUGCUAUGAGUUGUGAUAUAUUUGAAUGAAAAUCAUAUAAAAGAUCAUUUACUUGUCAUUUGUUUCUUUUGCAGAAAAGUGCGCAAGGCACUAUAAUCGUCAAGAUUUUUACUAUGUGGCUAACGAGACGAGAGAAGGGCUUGUGUGUGACGACAAGAAGUAACCAAAGGGGCUAACUAUAGAAGAGAGGGGAUCUACUUGGGAAGGAAGAAGAUAGUAGGAGGGCCCAUGUGCAAACAUCAAAAUCUGCUGUGAGGGGAUCAAACUCCCUAGGUCACUACACAAUUCCCCUCGGGCCUGGCUACACAUCUCUCUUCUCCCCCACCUCUCCUUCUCCAACUCCGGCCGCCGCCACGUCCAGGCCAGCGUGGUGGUGCGCCUUCGCAGCACAUCCAUCCACCAGCACCACCAUCACACGACCACUCCACAACCAGCGCCACCCAGCCACCCAUGCUCACCAUCUCCAUCACCCGCCGCUGCAUCAUCACCAAUCAGCCACUGCUGCACCAUCACCAGCACCUCCAUACACCACCAUCCAUCAGCGCCACCAUCUACAGCUACCGCUGCAUCUCGCGUGCUCGACCAGACAAGAGGGUCACGGGCAUCUGGUCCUCCGCGUUAGCGCCCCCGUGAUGUUGAUGUUCUUCUCCUUUCCCCCCUGCUGCUUCUUCCCUUCACGCUGCUGCUGCUGCCUUCCUUGCACCCCCUUGCUGCUGCUACGAUCUGAACCCUCCUUGCUUUUGCUCUUCCCUCGUCCUAGCCUGCUGCUCUCUCAAUCUCUGCUGCUGCUAUUCUCUAAGCCCCCCACGCUGCUGCUGUUCCUCUUCUUUCCCACGUCUCUCCUGCUUUCUUCUCCCCAAAACUGCUGCUAUACCUUCUCCCUAAUUCCCCUCUUCUCCUAACCUCGUUGUUGUACUUUUCUGAACCCCUACUACUCCUGUUUCCCUCAUUAUCUUUCUCUGAAUUUUCUGUAAGCUGAGAUGUGUAAUGCUUUGUAAUGUUCAGAUUUGAGUAGUGCUUGACACUUGUUCAGUUUCAGACUUGUCCUUGAUUAAUAGUACUUGUGUUGUUCAUCUCAGAGUACUAGAAUUAUGUCUUGUAACCUCCCCCUGUUUGCAUAUGUGUGAUGUGUGUUCUGUAGUGUUUUUGUUAACUUUGUUCAUGUGAAAACAUAUAUGUUUGUGUUGUGAUAUAUUUUUGUCCCUAUCAUAUUAGCUUGUUUCUUUCCUUCUGUCAUUGCUAGUUAUAUAUGUGUGAGUGUUUGUGUUGUGAGAGUUGUACUGUUACAUUGUGAUUCUCAUUUAAAAUGUAAGAGUACUAGCUAUAUAUGUCAUAUAUAUUCUGUUCAUGUAUGAUAGUUAUAUGUGUUCUUGUCUAGCAGGUUUCCCUAAUGUUUGUGUGAGUGUUUGUAUUAGUGUUUUAAUCCCUCAAGCCUAAUAAAAAUACCAAAAAGAUAAUGAGUAAAAUCUGAAUUUCCCCUUGCUGUUUACCCUUUCUUUGUCAUCAACCUUAGCUAGUUUAGGUUAUUAUUUUCUUGGAAUCCUCUCUUAAAAUUAUGUCACCUAGCUUUAGCUGAGCAUUGUUGUUGUCGCCUAGUCCCUGUGGAGAACACGACAUCCGUAGUUUGGGGCGUAAAAAUCCCGCUAUACUUACACUUGAUCAGUGAUACAUGUUAACUUACCAGCUACUCUCUUCUAUUGCUUCAAGAUGGAGGCUGCCAAAAGCAUAGUCUUCAAUAGAACUAGCUUCCCCCCCCCCCUUCUUAUUCUGGCAUUCUGCAGUUUAGUCCACAGAUACUAACCCUUUCAUUGAUACCGAUGCAUAUGUAGUAUAGAUCUGAUGUCAGUCUUGUGAGUACUUUGGAUGAGUACUCAUGGUUGCUUUGCUACUUCUUUUUCCCCAAUACCCGAUUGCUGCGAUCAGUUGACGGAGCCCCGGAGCCAGCUGUCCCCGCCGAUGAUGACUACUACUACCUCGAGGGUGCCUACUACUAUGUGCAGGCCACCGACAACCAGGAGUAGUUAGGAGGCUCCCAGGCAGGAUGCCUUGCCUUUUCUACCGUUGCUACUUUUGAGCUAGCCUUCUUAAGGCAACUCGUUUAACUUAUGUAUGUACUCGGAUAUUGUUGCUUUCACUGACUUGUUUGUAUUCGAGCUGAUGUAUUCGAGCCCUCGAGGCCCCUGACUUGUAAUAUAAAGCUUGUGUGACUUUAGUUUGUGUCUGGAGUUGUGUUGUGAUAUCUUCCUGUGAGUCCCUGAUCUUGAUCAUACACAUUUGUGUGUAUGAUUAGUGUACGAUUGAAUCGGGGGCAUCAUAGUAUGUCAAGAAUGCAACAAAUGACAAUUAAUUGAACUAGAGUAGAUGAUGAAUGCAACUAAGAGAAUAUACAAACUAGAGUAUCAACUAAAAAUUAUCUCUAUUUUGUUGUUUAUGUAUCAUGGCAAAUUAUCUCUCUUUUGUUGCAAUUUAAGUUCAUGUCACAUGACCUUUGUUGUUUAUGUAUCAUGGCAAACUAUGUACCCUGUACUAUUAUUGUUGUUGUGCUUGACACACCAAUUCCCACAUUCAUGUUGAUAAAAUAUACUCUACAUAUGUUCUCAACCAUACGCAAGUAAAAUUCAUAUAUAGAGAAGAACUCUAUAUUUUAAACAUCAGCCACAUAAGAUAACAAUAUCUGAAUAGUAAGUAAUAAAUUAGGUUCACAUCCCAUCCUAUUAAGAAUAUAUAGAAGCACAAGACUAGAUGCAAGAUCUACAAGUAAUUACUAAGGUAGUUUUCAAGUCGCGUGAGUUGGAGUUUAACCAUAAAACUUAGUACGAAUAUGACAACACUUGUCUUACUUGAGUUGCUCAAAUUCUUGCCUUGGGUGUGGCUAGAACCAAACUAAUUUUGUAGUUUCAGCAUUGUCAUACAAACUGGCAUACUGAUUUUGUAGUUGCAGCACUGCCAUACUAAUUAUGUAGUUGCAGCACUGUCAUACAAACACAUGGCACUUCCCAGCACUGCCAUACAAAUUGUCCACCUAUUCAAACUCCUAAUUUUGCCUACUCAGACAAACUAAUUUUGCCUACUCACUUCACUAGCAAACGGAAACCCUAGCUAUGCAAAUCAAAUAGGGAGGGGAUGAACUCAUGAUGAUUUUGUACAAAGGAGAAAGAAGGUGGGAGGGGUAGAACUCACAAACGAUUUGUAGUCGAUGUCGUGCCAAACCAAACCCUAGCAGCCCGUUGUUUUCAUCGCCAUCGCCGAAAAGCCUAGCAAUGCAAAUCAAAUGAAAUCAAAUGAAAUGGGUCAAGAGAUAGGGCAAAGAGAGAGAGAGAGAGAGUUAUAGAUAUUACCUCGGCACUGGAGCCAGCCGGAAAUGGCCGUGGGAAUCGAUCGGCGAAGAGCGGCGACACAAAGCGGUCCGAGAAAGGCACAGAGGAAAGCGAGUAGAGAGGGAAAGUGAGGUGGGGCGAGGAGGCCGUUGCCACCUUGGUUUUGACCUGCUACCUCCAACGCAUUUUUGGGCUGGUCCAAUACGCCAUUUUAAAAAUAAAUAAAUUACUUGCUUUUAUAAAAGCAAACAAAUUAACAAUAUUUCUACUUUACUAAAAACAAAUUAAAGACUCAAAAUAUAACACGAAGAAUGUCAGCAUUUAGUAAAAUAUAGCGGAAUAAUAAUUAUUACUAUUUGAAUUUAUUAAAAAGACUAAAAAAAUAUUAGAACUUUAUUUUAAUUAAAAACAAUAUUUUUACUUUAAUCAAAACAAUAUUUUUACUUUAACAAAAACAACUCAAAGACUAAAUAUUGUUUUUUAAAUGUCAGCAUUUCCAAUUCAAAUAUUCUUACUUUCAUAAAAGUAACUACAAUAUAAUAUAAAAAUGAUCACAAUUUCCAAUUAAAAUAUUCAAAAUUUAAUAAAAAUAAACUACAUAUAAUAUAAAAAAUGGUCACCACUUAAAAAAUAAAAAA
rnacentral:lncRNA from 1 species